rnacentral:rRNA from 1 species
AUUGAACGCUGGCGGCAGGCCUAACACAAGCAAGUCGAGCGGAUGAAGGGAGCUUGCUCCUGGAUUCAGCGGCGGACGGGUGAGUAAUGCCUAGGAAUCUGCCUGGUAGUGGGGGAUAACGUCCGGAAACGGGCGCUAAUACCGCAUACGUCCUGAGGGAGAAAGUGGGGGAUCUUCGGACCUCACGCUAUCAGACGAGCCUAGGUCGGAUUAGCUAGUUGGUGGGGUAAAGGCCUACCAAGGCGACGAUCCGUAACUGGUCUGAGAGGAUGAUCAGUCACACUGGAACUGAGACACGGUCCAGACUCCUACGGGAGGCAGCAGUGGGGAAUAUUGGACAAUGGGCGAAAGCCUGAUCCAGCCAUGCCGCGUGUGUGAAGAAGGUCUUCGGAUUGUAAAGCACUUUAAGUUGGGAGGAAGGGCAGUAAGUUAAUACCUUGCUGUUUUGACGUUACCAACAGAAUAAGCACCGGCUAACUUCGUG